ACCUACGGGAGGCAGCAGUAGGGAAUCUUCCACAAUGGGCGAAAGCCUGAUGGAGCAACGCCGCGUGGGUGAAGAAGGUCUUCGGAUCGUAAAACCCUGUUGUUAGAGAAGAAAGUGCGUGAGAGUAACUGUUCACUUUUCGACGGUAUCUAACCAGAAAGCCACGGCUAACUACGUGCCAGCAGCCGCGGUAAUACGUAGGUGGCAAGCGUUAUCCGGAUUUAUUAGGCGUAAAGGGAACGCAGGCGGUCUUUUAAGGCUGAUUUGAAAGCCUUCGGCUUAACCGGAGUUGUGCCUU
rnacentral:rRNA from 1 species